rnacentral:lncRNA from 1 species
UCCAUCAACAGGGACCAAGUGUGCAAUGGAAAUAUUAUAGUAACAGCACUAGGUUUACUUUUCACAACCUACUAGCUCACAGUAUAAGAAACUCACAUACGUCUGGGUGAAAAAGAAAGGAUAAUUAGUCUUCAAUACAAGCAUGAAGCGCUGAUUGAAACUAGUAAACUGUUAACACAAGCAUGCACUGCUAACUGAAACUAGAAUAAACUAGGUUGCAUCCAUACUCCUCUCUUUCAGACAAAAGACAGCACAACCAUCAGGUAUCAACGUAAUCUGCAAACGAAGCAAUCAAUGAGAUAGGCCAUUGACAGAUCACAGAUAUGCUUCUGAAAGGGCGUCUGCCCUAUCUACAAAACAAUAGCUGAAAGGGUCGGCAAUUGACAGGUCCCGGGUAUCCAAACUGCCAAACCAACUAGCAGAACUGCUUCCAAAUUUCAAUCGGGCGUCUUGAGAAGCUCUAUUUUCCGCUUCUAGCAGCAUGAGUUGGUCGGUCAUCCAUUUCAUGUCAAUAUCAAUAUUCUUACACACUCCAAAGUUGAUUUCCUUUACCACUUCCGCAUUCAAAACGAAGAACUUUGCAAAUCCAACAUCUUCCUCACCACCUUUGUAAUUUAUCAGCACCAGUACUUUGAGAUGGCUCUCAAGGCAUUUGAUCGGAUCUAGUGGCUCAUACUGACGCACAUUUUUCAUCUCUGCCUUCACAUAAUCGUCCCACUGGGAAGGACGUAAUAAACAUAUGUUAAAAUUUUGCUAACUAGGCAUUAUUAGAUGAGAAUGGAAUAUUCAGUUUGAUAUUCAAAGCAAAGAAAAUGAAUACUCACAAUGACAUAGAGCUUUUCCAAGCAGGGGAAGCAUCUAAGGACGUCAAGAACUGCAUCCAAAUUAGGCCUCGAGAAAUGGAGAGCCAAAACCUUUACAGUGCAUAUUGGGUUUUCAGACCUGGAUGGGAUCGAUCCCUGAAAAAAACAAUGGAGAUUAAAAGAACUCUCGAAGUAACAAUGCCAGAUAAGAGUCUGGAGAUUGAUCCUGCUGUUACCUUGAAGACUAUAUUAGCAAUAUCAAUUUCUGAAAUGCAGGGAGACAAAAGGCCCAACAUCUCCAAUUUAGGCGCCCUAAGAACCCGAAUAAUCUCACCGCCUGGACAACUUAAUAGCAACCUUACAAGGCAAGGGGCCUCCUUAAUGAGCAAUUCUCCUUUGCCCUCAAACAAAUAGCUGAUGACGAUGAUCCUGAGACUUGGCGAGCUAAUGCUGAGGCAAUCAACAUCACGAAUCUCUGACAGAUAUAAGUUACCCAAGACACGGCAGCCAGAGAGCACCACAGAGAAGACAUCCUCAGAAAUGGAGACCCGCCAUAGGUUGAGCUGCCUGAGGAAAGGGAAAUUCAGCGAAGGUGCAACCUCUUUUGGGAAAUCGCAGAAACCAAUCCUGGCAAACUGAAGGGUUGAUGCAACCGCGGAGCACCGACGGUGGCAGCGGAUAGCGCUUCUCCUUCUCAGGCUGUACAUACGUAUAUUCCAAGAACUGAGACAUGCCGGGCUUUAGAUUGCUUACUGGUGGUGACGCAGAAGUUUGAUGGAAGUCUCACCUACCGCCCGACCUCUCACCUCACCUACCGUGCGUAAUGGCGCCGCAACCACCGCCAUUAAUGGCCACGCGGGCUUAUCUAGCCUCCCUUCCCUUCCCACGCCAUGGUUAUCCUGGGGGGAGGUUGCUGAGGCUGGGUCGCCUUCCGUGAGUCGGCUUCAGAGGUAGCCGGCCAGGGAAGGUGGUCCAAUGCUUGGAGUGCUUGAAGGCCCAAAGGCCUGAUAAUUUUUUGGAAGAGCCAGGGGCAGUCGGUUAGGCUACCCGUGGCCAUUUACUCCGACAGUAGUCCCCGAAGCUGAUUGGGCUUCGAGGUUGGGUAGGAGUUGAGAAGCUCAAUCAGCUUCCUAUCUUGACAAGUCGGCAGCUGGGAGCCGGCUUUGGUUAGACGCGCCGCCUUGGUCAAAAAUUCCGGAGUCGGAGGGCGGGAGCUCGCCAGUGCGUGCACCGGGCCGCGGGCCGGCCACUUGCCGUCUGCGAACCACGUGGCCUCUCUUGGCCAAAAAGCCUGCCAUCCCACGCGCGCGACGGGACGUCACCGCAGGGCGGGGGCCCGCCACGUCCACGCCCGGGCCCAGGCGUGGAUUCUCUGCAGCCCGAAACCGCCCGCACGUCUCCUUGCGGCAGUUUCGGCACGCCUUUAGGGCGUAAUAAUCGCGAGGCGUGGGGGAGUGGGUGCAGUUAAUCCCACGUCUCACCCCACAUCCGGCCUCCCCGGCUUCACCUCGCGAAGCUAUAAGUAGGGGGAGAGGGAGAGCAGCAGGCUCUCGCACGCUCCUCCCCUUCCACCAUCUUCUUCCUCUUGCCGUUUCUUGCAACAGCGCCUUGCCGCCGCGCUCUUCCACUGCUCGUUCCUCCGCCGCCGCACUCGUUUUCACCAUGCCUCCCGCCACGGAACAAUAUGGCGGGGAUUGGGACGGCUCCAACGUCCACGAGGAUCACGUCGAAUUCCUCCGCAAGACGCGGCGGCUGCCCAGCGCGGACAAGGUGGAGGUCCGUCUCGCGCCGGCGAAGGAGCUUACACCGGAGCCGCGGGAGGGCGAGCGGGUGGUCUUCCGCUCGCAUUUCUUGCGCGGAAUCGACCUGCCCGUGAGCGCCUUCUUCUGCUCUUGGCUCGAGUUCUACCAGCUCCAGCCGCACCACCUCACCCCGAACGCGGUGGGCUGUUGUCUGCCUUCGUCACCCUGUGCGAAGGCUACCUCGGCGUCCUCCCCACCCUCGAGCUCUGGGGGGAGUUCUUCCAGUCCAAGCUGGGCACGCGCACGCGGGGCGUGCCGGCUCAGACUGGCGCCUUCAUCGCGGGGCGGAGGGUGGCUGCCGACAACCCCUUCCCCAUCAUCACGCUGAUCCAGUCGGUGAAGCUAUGGCAAAAGUCGUAUUUCUAUGUCAGGAGCAUCGCCCCGCAGGGCGACUACGUCAACCUGCCGGCUUACGUAGCCGGCCCACCGGAGGGCAGGCGGCCCCAGUGGUCCUACCGGGCCGUGACUCUGACGCCAGCUGGAUCCGCAGCCGUCGCCCGAGUGCGAGCGAUGACCCAGUCGGAGGGCUUGACGGGGCCCGACCUACUGGCCGCCUUCGUCACGCGUCGGGUACUUCUGCUCCAGAGCCGCCCUCAUCUGAUCUGUCAGAUGAGCGGCCAGCUCGAUUCGAGCCGGAUGUGCACCAAGGACAUGCCGCACGCGGAGGUUGCCUAUAUGGUGAACUACCUCGCGAACUGCAAACUCUCCGAAGAGUGGCAGUUCGGCAAGGAGCCAUAUAGCCGAGCCAAUCCACCGCCCACGGUAUGUUCUCCUCGUCUCUUCUUUUUCUCUUAGCUUUGUCGCCGAGUUCCUUUGGCCGACUCUGACUAGUCGGCUUGUCUUCGACAGAGUCCUCUUCUUCGGCCUGCCAGCGGGUCGGAUGCGGAGCGCCGAUUCGUCCCCGACCGGACGCAGCACGACCUGGAGGACCCCGACUUGGGGGCGGCCGCUAUGGACGACAACACCGAGCCGGGUGGUGGCCAAGCCGGCGGCGAAGCAGGCGGCUCCGGGCAUGGAGUCACCUUCAACGACUGGCCGGACGACGAUGAGGCCGAAGUCGUCCCGCGCCGUCGGCCGGCAUCUGGACACGGCGGGGGUUCCUCCGCUGCACCGCCUGCUCGGGGCGGCGGGCAAAAUCGUCGCGCCGCCCAGGGUUUGUUCGGCAGUCGGACGAAGAAGCCCAGGGGUGGGGCGGCGGCGACUAGGCGGGAGGAGGCGGCCGCGAAGGCGGCUCGCUUCCGCAAGACGGUGAAGCAACCACAGACGGUGUCGGUGUAAGUUCGAACUCUUUUGUGUACUCUUUUUUCUUUCUUUUCUCUGGUGGUUCCUGAAUCCUUGUCUUUUUCUCCAAACAACUAGAGCUCCAUUGUCGCUUGAGCGGGCGGCUGCCGCCUCCGUCGCCGAGUCGCCGAGGGGGUCUGGGAGCACCACUCGCCGCGUGGACCCCCGUGCCGACCUUCAGGAGGCGACAGAACGGAACGCGCGGGAAGCGCGGGAGGAGCGCGAGGCGCGGGAGGCGGAGGCACGGAAGGCGGCCGCCGCCCAGGCGGCGCAGGAAGAGGAGGCGGCGAAGGCGUGCGCCGACGCCGCAGCCAAGGCCCAAGCGGAGGCUGCAGCUGCGGCGGCGGUGGCAGAGGGGGCCUUGUUGGUCACCCCACUGCGCGUCGCAGCGCCUGGGACCCCGGAGCCCUCGCCAGAAGGAGCCAGUGGCGACCAGCCAGGGCUGGAGAGGGACAACGACGUCGUCAUCCUGGAGAGGGCGCCGGUGCCGACCCCGCCGACUGGGGCCGCUCAAGGCGGUCGGCCUGAUCUGCCGCCUGCGCAGUCGGCGGGGGGCGAGCCGGCCGCAAGGACUGAGCUGGCGGUCCGGAUGCCGCCGAGCCGGCGCGCGGGGAAGGCUGCGUCAGAGCCACAGAAGGCUGCGUCGGAGCCGCAGCCGGCCGCGGGCUCCAGCUCGUCGGCCCAGGAUGUGAAGGUGGCCAGCGCUACCUCGGGGUGGACGCCGGGCGAAGGGACGGCCGUGAUGAACGUGGCCGUGCAGGACGUCCGGACCAGGCUCCAGGCCCAGGCUACGGCGCUGAGGCAGUAUACCGACGAGUUCCUUGUGACGCGGGCGGCCAUCCGGGUUAGUCUUCUUAUCUUGCUUCUUCUUGAUCUUGAUUUCUUCCGUGGGGGUGCGUCAGCGCACCCACUGGGUGUAGUCCUCGAGUUCCGAGUCGGCUGCUGAGCAGGCGGCUUGGAACUUCUUAGUGGAUUUGGCUUUGCUAUUCUUGUUCUUACUUCGAUCUUCUGUCUAUCUUGCAGGACUACCACAAUCUUCGUGCGGCCGCCUUCAACUCCCAGGCUCGGGAGCUGACCCAGAAGACCGCCGACCUUACUGAGAGCCGGGGUACGUGCUUUGUUCUUUAUCUCACGUGGGGGCGCGUCAGUGCACCCACUGGGUGUAGUCCCCGAGAUUCGGGCCGACUGCUGAGCGGUCGGGUCGGAUCUUCCUUGACGACUUCCUCUUACUGUUCUUUCUUUUUCUGCCGUCUCUGCAGCGGCCAACGCCGGUCUGAGGGCACAGCUGGGAGAGUCUCAGACUGCCCUUCGUGCCAAGGAUGUCGAGCUCGCCGCCUUGGUGCAGGAACGCGACCGCCUGGCCAAGAAGUUGGCCGACCAGGAGGAGGGCCACAAGGCGGCUCUGAAGGCGGUGCAGGACCGCGAAGCCGCCCUCCAGGCCGAGUACGAGAUGGAGGCGGCUGGCUGGGCUGAAGCAAGGCAAACUCUGAUCACUGGCUAUGGUCAGAUCGAGGAUCUGGUAGAUGGUAAGCCGCCUACUUCUUCGUCCUUUCUAGCCAUCUGCCGCUUUUGGCUCGUUUUCUGACUUGGUGUUUUCUCUUCUUUCUUUUUACUUUCUUGCGCAGAGUACUUUCCUGGCUAUUCUACCGCCGCCAACCAGAUCAUCGAGGCCCGCCGCCAAGCGCGAAGGCAGGCUGGCUUCGAGAUUUCGCCAACCGCCGGCCGUUCGCUGGAGGAGCAGCUCUUGGCGAUCCAGGCCCGUCUCCAGCCGGCUCACCGACUGCUCUGCUGUCUUCAGCGCGCCGAGGCGCAAGUACUGGCCGCCCUCUGGCCCGGCCAAGUGGUUCCUCGCACCCCCAGUCGGACCGCCGAUUGGCUGGAGGUGGCAGUCGGCCGCUUCGAAGCCUGGAAGGCCUCGGCGGCUCGGUCCGGCGUCCGGCGGGCGCUGGAGUUCGUCAAGGCCUGGUAUCCCGGCCUGAGCCUGGAUCAGCUGACUACCUGGCGGCAGCAAGCCGACACGGAGCUGGAGCCGGCGCGGCCGGCUAUCAUCCGGCGGGCUUCGGCGAUCGCCGACUACACCGACACCAGCGUCUUCACCCCUGAGGUAGAUGACAAUGGUGUCGCCCAGCCGGAGGAGUGGUUCGGGCUGAACCCGGCAGACGGUGAAGACUCGGCGGAGGAGAACGACUCCAGCGACGAGGGCGAAGAGGAGGAGGAGGAGGGUGAAGACGCCGAGCCGGCUAGUGGAGCAGCCGACCAGCCUCAGCCUGACCGUGCCUCCAGCACCACGUCACGCGCAAGUGCGUCGCCCGCCACUGGUGGUGACCAAGCCAAGACCCGCUAGGCGGCCACUCCUUCAGCUGGCGACGCCGUCUCCACCGACCAGCUCGGCUCCCGCACCGCGCCCUAGUCUAGUCUGCCAUCUUUUGUUUUCCUGUCUUGUCACUUUUGGAACAAUAUUCUGUUAAGUCUGCACAAUUCCACCCACUGGGGGUGUAUUCGAACUUAUGUCCGUAGCCGGCCUGUUGGGGGCUUUAUAUGUAUAUAUAACUUAUGCAUGCAUUUGGCUUUUCCUCGUACUUUGCUUUUCAUCCUUCUGAUGUUUCCUUUGCCGCCCUUCCUUGGUUGCCGCCUCCCCAGUCAAACAGUUGCUCUGCAAUCUGUAGCUGGAGGAGUGCUUGGCCAAUUGGUGGAGGGAAGUACUCUAGCUUUGCUGGACUAGAGCUAAGUGUUUAGGAAGCCGGCCAGCCGGCUAUUCUGAUAGCCGGCAAGCGUGGUUGGAGGCCGUCUUUUUGCUAUAUAAGUUCGUUGGUCCUUAGCCGUUUUUCGUGUGGGCAUCCUUUCUGCCUUGCCUCUUGCUAGUUGGACAGUCGGUUCUUCGAGCUGCGACUUUCAACAAGAGAGGACUCGGGAGCUGGCACACUACUUGUCUGACUUCAGGUAGAACUUUUAAUAUAGCUCAAGGCGGCCAGUCCCCGGGCUGACUAGUCGAACCCGGUGCCUAACAAAAAAUCAAAUGUAAUAAUACAUUCAUGGGUAUGACACUCGUCAUUCAUGGAUAAACAAAGGCAGUCCCCGAGUACUGUUCGGGGGGCCUGUUGGUUCGUACUUAAUACAAAAGGGUAGCAUGACACAUACUGCUUUCAACUAUAAAAUCUUCUCAGGAGGUUCGCAUUCCAUGGUCGUUCCGACUCCUUGCCGGAGUCGUCUCUCUUGCGUGCUCUUGGUUUUUGCGCGUCGAUCAGGUAGUAGGAGUCGUUGCCUAGUUGAUGACGAAGGGGCCUUCCCAAGGGGCCGAGAGCUUGUGCUGGCCAGCUGUUCGCUGGAUCAGCCGAAGCACAAGGUCGCCCUCUUGGAAGGAUCUUGGCUUGACCUUGCGGUUGUGGUAGCGGCGCAGCCCUUGCUGGUAGAUGGCGGACCGGCUGAGUGCUAACAGCCGGCCUUCUUCCAGUAGGUCGACGCCGUCUUCUCUUGCUUCCUUGGCCUCCUCCUCCGCGUACAUGGUGAUCCGAGGCGAGUCGAACUCGAUGUCUGUUGGGAUGACAGCCUCGGCACCAUACACGAGGAAGAAUGGAGUGAAGCCGGUUGACUUGUUGGGUGUAGUGCACAGACUCCAGAGGACAGCCGGCAGCUCAUCGAGCCAGUAGCCGGCUGAUCGCUCCAGUGGUACAACCAGUCGGGGCUUGAUGCCGGAGAGGAUGAGUCCAUUUGCUCGCUCGACCUGGCCGUUUGAUUGCGGGUGGGCAACGGACGCUAAGUCCAGUCGGAUGCCUUGCGUCGCGCAGAAACGUGCCAGUGCUCCUUUGGCGAAGUUCGUGCCGUUGUCGGUGAUGAUGCUGUGCGGCACGCCGUACCGAGUAGUGAUGUCAGUGAUGAAUGUCACGGCAGUCGGCCCGUUCAGCUUCUUGAUCGGCUUUGCUUCGAUCCACUUUGUGAACUUGUCCACAGCGACAAGUAGAUGCGUCAAGCCGCCGCGGGCUGUCUUGAAAGGGCCCACCAUGUCCAGUCCCCAGACGGCAAAAGGCCAGGUGAGGGGAAUGGUCUUGAGUGCAGAAGCCGGCAGGUGUUGCUUGGAAAUAAAAACUUGGCUUCCUCUGCAGCUCUUGACUAUCUCUUUAGCAUCUUCCAAGGCAGUCGGCCAAAAGAAACCAUGGCGGAAAGCCUUGGCCACAAGUGAUCUUGAGGCUGCGUGGUGGCCGCAUUCGCCUUGGUGGAUAUCCUUGAGGAUUGCCACUCCUUUUUCUGGCUCAACACAACGCUGGAAGACUCCAGUGACGCUGCGCUUCACAAGCUCUCUGUUGAUUAUUGCAUAUGCUGCGGCUCGUCGUUGCACUAGUCUUGCUGAGAUCUCAUCAGCCGGCAGCUCUCUGCUGACUAGGAACUUGAGGAUGGGCUGGGCCCAUGAUGGAGCUGUGACUUCUUCUUCUGUUAGUGUAGCCACCAUGACUCGGGUGGGUGGGUUGGGUGGCGUGGAGUUGGAGUCGGCCACCGCUUCUUGUGUCGUUGCAGUCCCCGGGCCGGGUGCGACUACGGCAGUCCCCGGGCCAGUUGUCGAAGUCCCCGUGCCGCCUGCGGGGUUCCUCCAGUCGGAUCCGGCUGCAUCUGGCGCAGGCGGUACGAAGAUAGAGUCCGACUCUGGAGACGGCUUGAUGGACGGCUUGAGGAGGCGCUGGAGGGAGACGCCAGUCGGUAUGGCUUGUCGGGUGGAGCCGAUCCGUGUUAGGGCAUCUGCUUGGUCGUUGUCGGCCCUUGGUACGUGAAGGAACUCGCACCCUUCGAAGUAUCCGCUGAUCUGCUGGACGAGGAAUCAAUAGCUUGCCAUGUUCGCGUCCUUGGCGUCCCAGUCGCCGAACGACUGCUGGACCACCAAGUCUGAGUCGCCGUAACACAGGAUCCGGCGUAUGCCGAGCUCUUUGGCUAGCCGGAGCCCAUGUACGAGCGCCUCGUACUCGGCCACGUUGUUGGAGGCGGCGAAGUGGAUCUGCAGUGUGUACUUGAGCUUGUCGCCUUUGGGAGAGGUGAGGACGAUGCCGGCUCCCAAGCCGGUGCGCAUCUUGGACCCGUCAAAGUGCAUCCGCCAAUGGGUAGAGUCGGGAGCCGGCGGUAGGUACUGGGUCUCGGCCCAGUCGACGAGGAAGUCGGCCAAUGCUUGGGACUUGAUGGUGGUGCGGGGUUGGUAGAAGAUCGUGUAGGGCGCCAGUGCAAUGGCCCAUUUAGCCACCCGGUCGGAUGCAUCCUGGCUGCCUAUGAUCUCGGCGAGCGGGACGGUGCACACGACCGUGAUGGGGUGCUCUCGGAAGUAGGGCUUCAGUUUCUUGGCGGCGAAGUAUACCCCAUAACACAUCUUCUGGUAGUGCGGGUAGUUCUGCUUUGAGCUGGAUAGCACUUCGCUUAGGUAGUACACCGGCCUCUGGACUAGCUGGGCUCGGCCUUCUUCCGGGCGCUGGACCACAACAACAAUACUGACUACUCGGCUAGUCGCAGCGAUGUAGAGGAGCAUGGGCUCCUUUUCAGUCGGCGCUGCUAGGACAGGCGGAGUGGUCAGCAUUUUCUUCAACUCAUGGAAGGCUUGGUCGGCUUGGUCAUUCCACUCGAAGUGAGUGGACUUCUUCAUGAGUCGGUACAGGGGGAGAGCCUUCUCUCCUAGUCGGCUGAUAAAACGAUUCAGGGAGGCCAAGCAGCCGGUGAACUUCUGCACAUCUCGCAGUUUGGUGGGAAUCUCCAUCCUCUCGAUGGCCUUGAUCUUGACGGGGUUGCACUCGAUGCCGCGUUCGGAGACCAGGAAGCCUAGCAGCUGGCCGGCUGGUACUCCGAACAUGCACUUCUCGGGGUUGAGCUUGAUUUGGAAUCGGCGCAAGUUGGCGAAUGUUUCUCUGAGAUCUUCCAGCAGGGUACCGCGCUUCUCUGUCUUCACCACAAUGUCGUCUACAUAGACGUGGGCAUUUCUGCCGAGUUGUUUCAAGAGGCAUUUCUGCAUGCAACGCUGAAAAGUGGCACCGGCAUUCCUCAAGCCGAAUGUCAUAGUCAGGUAGCAGAAAGCUCCAAAGGGUGUGAUGAAGGCAGUCUUCAGGCGGUCAACCGGGUCCAACUUGAUCUGAUGGUACCCUGAAUAGGCAUCCAAAAACUCAACAGCUCGCAUCCGGCUGUGGAGUCUAUCACUUGGUCAAUCCGUAGCAGAGCAAACGAAUCCUUGGGGCAGGCCUUGUUCAGGCUGGUGUAGUCUAUACACAUACGCCACUUGUUAUUCUUCUUUAGAACCAGAACUAGGUUGGCAAGCCACUCUGGAAAGAACACUUCCAUGAUAAAGCCAGCGGCAAGGAGCCGGGCUAUCUCUUCUCCCACGAUUCUUCGCUUCUCUUCUGACAGUCGGCGGAGGGGUUGCUUGACCGGCUUCGCAUCAGCUCGGACAUGUAAUCUGUGCUCGGCGAAAUCCUUCGGGACACCCGGCAUGUCCUUUGGGGACCAUGCAAAAAUGUCUCGAUUCUCACGGAGGAAGUCGACGAGCUCGCCUUCCUAUUUACUGUCCAAGUUCGCCCCAAUGAUGGCGAACCUCUCCGGGUUCUCCGGGUCCAGAGGUAUCUUCUUUGUCUCUUUGGCAGGCUGGAAGGAGCCCUGCGCAUCACAAUCUUUGGGGUUGGGGGACAGGGCCGGCUGCUUGCCGGCCAUGGCCACAACCCGCUCCAACAUCUUCUUCUCUUCUGCCACCACGAGGGACUCGACCAGUCGGCUACUGGCCAUGGCACACUCGAUGGACUUCUUGUAAUCGCCGGCUACCGUGAUGAUCCCCUUUGAGCUCGGCAUCUUCAUCUUCAGGUAGGCGUAGUGGGGCACAGCCAUGAACUUGGCCAGAGCAGGUCGGACAAGCAAAGCAUGAUAGGGGCUCUCCAAGUCCACUACCUCGAACCAGAUCGCUUCCCGGCGAAAAUGAUCUUUAUCUCCAAAGAGAACAUCCAUUUUAAUCUUGCCGAUUGGGGAGCAAGACAAGCCGGGGACAAUACCAUGGAACACGGUCCGGCUCGGCAUAAGCUGCUUCGCUUUGAUGUUCAGCUUCUCCAUGGUAUCGCGGUACAGUAUGUUGAUACUGCUUCCGCCAUCUAUCAGGACGCGGGAGAAUCGGGCAGCUCGCCUCUCCGUCGCGAGGGUGACAUCCAAGACCAUUGCAUAGGAGCCAGGAGAGGGCAUCACCUCUGGGUGGUCGGCCUGGCUCCAGCUGAUUGGCUUCUCUGACCAGUGCAUGAACUCGGGGGCGCUAGAGGCGACUGCAUUAACUUCUUGGUGAUGUCGGCGCCGACUGCGCUUGUCGUCGGCUUGACUGGUAAAGACGACGUAGGCGGCGUGCUCUUCAGGGAAUUCGUCUUGGAUGGCGCCGACCGCUGGCCGAGCCGCCGGCUGCUGAGGGGCUGGAGGCGGCGGGCCGGGAGGCGGAGGCGGCAGCAACCCUUCGCCCUUGGAGAUGCGGGUGAGCCAAUGGCAUUUUCGGGUCGUGUGGUUGGACGGCUUCGCGCCGCCGUGGAACUUGCAGGGGGCGUCGAGAGUCUGCUCGUAAGAGAAAGCCGGCUGCCAAGCCGGCCUGCCACCCUUCUUCUUGGGAGCGGGCCGCUCUUCGGGCUGCUCAUCUUCAACGGUGGCCACCUGCCGACUGGUGGAAGUCGGCAUGGGGGCCUUGCGCUUGUGAUCGUUCUGGUAGGGGCGCCGAUUAGGGUCGCCAGCCGGCGUCUUGGGAGCCGGAGCAAUCACCUUUCCCGAGGCGUCUACUCGAAGCUCGGUCUUCAUCGAGGAGUCGGCCGUGGCGUACUUGUCCGCCAUGACCAGCAACUCGUCGAGGGUAGCCGGUUCGUCGCAAAGGAGUCGGUGCUUGAGGAGGGUGCCCUCUCGGCACCCGGCGGUGAAGUACUCGAUGGCCUGAACCUCGUGCACCCCCUCGCAGGAGUUGCGGAGCUCGGCCCACCGCGUGAGGUAGUCGCGGGUCGACUCGUUGGGCCCUUUGACGCAGAGGGAGAGCUGGCGAGGCUUGGGAGGCCGCUUGUAGGUACUGGUGAAGUUGCGGACGAAGACUUCCGUGAAGUCCAGCCAACUGUUGAUGCUGUAGGGCUUGAGGCUGUUGAUCCAUGUGCGCGUCGUGCCUUGCAGCAUGAGGGGGACGUACUUCACGGCGACGCGCUGAUUGCCGUUGGCUAUGCUGACAGCCGUGGAGUAGUCGAUGAGCCAAUCCUCCGGCUUCACUGAGCCAUUGUACUUGGGCGUGUCUCUGGGGAGCGAGAACCCUUUGGGGAAGGGCUCGUCGCGGAUGCAUGGGCCAAAACAUGGCGGGCCGACAUCGUCUUCUUCUUCUAACGCCAAGGAUCGAGCAAGGCGGUCGAUCCGGUGGCGGGCGUCGUUCUCGCCGACUCCUUCUCGGCAGCCGAGUCGGUCACCAAGAGUCGGGUGCGUGAUAGGCGGCAGGGUGAGACGUCUUUCUCUUCGAGGCAGGGGAGGAGGCAGAUUUCCUUGGUGCUCCACCGCUCGCGGGCGGCCUUCCGCGUCGCGCUCGAUGGUGAUGCGAGUCCGGCUGCGGCUAGCAGCCGGCUCCUUGUCUUUCUUCUGGCGGGCGCCGCUCGCAGUUGGCGAGCGGGAUGUCGCGGUGUGCUCCCGGCGCGAGGGAUGACUAUCAGCACGGGCGCCGGCUUCGUGCCGUUCUGCAGCCGCGUCGAUCAGCUGCUGGAUCCGUCUUGUCAUGUAGGGGAGCUCAUCGGCUCCCAGCCCAUUGAGCUCUUCUGCGGCCGCCUGAGCGGCUCGCAGAUUCUCGAGCGGGGUGGCGUAGACGGGGCGAUCUGCCCCCAGCAUGCUGGCGACGGCCGCGCCGCGCUUCUGGACGAAGCCGGCUCGGGCCGCUAGGCGGCGGCGUACCGAAGGCGGCGCGGUCGACUUCGCGCUGGUGGGCCUCGGUGAGGCGUCUCAUGGAGGCUAUCUUCUGGCCUUCUGCGAUGAGGGUGAGGUGGCGUGCCUCCAGGGUCUCGGCGUCGGCGUCGGCCGGGAUGGGGACGGAGAGGUCGUGCAUUGCCGCUUGCAGGACGUCGUGGACGUUCUCGCCCGAGUUGACGACGUGGCUGAUGACCAACACUUCGGUGACAGCGCUGCUGCCGCUGUCAGCUCGAGGGAGAGGAUCGUCGAAGACCACCACGUCGGAGGGGUAAGCAUCGAGCGAUGUCGUGUCGGAGUCGACGAGCAUCGGGUCGGUGGAGCCGACCGACUCCAAGUCUGCGGCAGGCUCGCUGGAGACGUGAAGAUGGUCGAGGAGGCUUACGAGGCGGCUCUCGGGGUAGUCCGUGCCUGCGUCGGACGCAGGCUCGUCGGAGAUGUGAGUCUCGCCGAGGAGACCGGCGAGGCGGCUCGCUGCGCAGGCGUCGUCGACGCCCUGCAGCGCGUCGAGGCAAACGCCAUCGGGCGCAGCAGGCUGGCUGCGCUCGCGGGGGAGGAAGAGGGUUCCCGUCCAGCACAGGUCUCCGGACGACGGUGCACCUGGCCCCACGGUGGGCCCAAAUGUCGGGUGGUAGGUGCGACAUAUGCCAACGGGUGGCUUAUCAUUGUGGGUGCCAAUAAGACGUCGCCGGUGCCUGGAAACGGGAUGAGGCGAAGACAUGCACGCCGGCGGAUCUUACCCAGGUUCGGGGCUCUCCGAGGAGAUAACACCCCUAGUCCUGCUCUGCGGGGUCUCCGCAUGAUCACUAGAUCAGGAAAAGUAGCUACAAUCGCUCCUAGAGCUGUUGGGUUCAAGGGAGAAGAAGAACAAGGCUAGCUCUUGCUUCUCUCUCUCUAUGGUGUGUGUGCUAUGCUCAGAAGCCAACCCUUUGCAUGGGUGCCCCGGGGGGUUUAUAUAGGCCUACCCCCCGGGGGUACAAUUGUAAUCCGGCUGGGCACUGGUCCCAGCCGUCAGUGUCUAUGCUCGCCGGCUUCUCCGCCGGCUGUUGGGGCCCGCCGACUAGUGGGUCCCGCCGGCUGCCGGCCUCUUGGUCGACAGGCCGGCCCCACCGCCUAGGAUCUUAUCGGCGGCUGCUUACUGUAGCCUCGCCCCUGAUGACGAGGGCUUUGUUGAGGUAAGCGUGGCUACAGUGGGCCACCUCGAGGGCUCUCACUGUAGCCUUACCUCGUCUUGUCUCCUUAAUGAGGCACAUGCUUCGAGGGAGGGGUAGCCGGCUUCUGGGGGCCGGCUGCGCCCUUGGCCGACUGGGGGAGGCCGGGCCGCCUUCGCGCCUCUCUCUGGCUGAAGGGGGCCGCCGCCCGUGGGUCAUACUAGCGUCUGCCCUGGGUGACGUCGAGGCUAGCAUGGCUAUAGUGCCGGGCCGGACGGGAGAUGGUCGUCCCGUACGGCGUCCUGUGGCCAUGCCUGCCUCAGCUUUCGGGGGUAGUGGGCCGCACUGUGGCCACAUCCCAUCUUGUCACCGUUAUGUGGCGUAGCUUUGGUGGUUGCGGUCUUGGCCGGCUUCUUGGAGUCGGAGCUCUUCGAGGCCGGCUUCUGGGGAGUCGGCAUCCUUUACGGCCGGCUUCCUGGAGUCGGCCACCCCGUGGUUAUCCUGGGGGAGGUUGCUGAGGCUGGGUCGCCUUCCGUGAGUCGGCUUCAGAGGUAGCCGGCCAGGGAAGGUGGUCCAAUGCUUGGAGUGCUUGAAGGCCCAAAGGCCUGAUAAUAUUUUGAAAGAGCCAGGGGCAAUCGGUUAGGCUACCCGUGGCCAUUUACUCCGACACUUAACAACUAGUGCCUAGUAGAUAGACGACAUUUUGUUUGUUAUCAGCCAAGUUAAUAUCCCCCGUCAAUCUCAACCACUAUGAACAAGGUUGAUAUUGGCUCUAAAAUGUUCAUCUGCAUCAUUGAGGGCUUGGCGAAGACGUUGACGACCUUGUCUGCUGACAUCACAAAACGGAUUUCCAAAGCUCCAAGUGCCACCUUCUCCCGGACAAAGUGGAAAUCCACUCCAAUGUGUUUAGUGCGUGGUUGUCUGACAUCACAAAACGGACUUCCAAAGCUUCAAGUGCGACCUUCUCCCGGCCAAAGUGGAAAUCUCCUCCAAUGUGUCUAGUGCGUGCAUGAAAUACUGGGUUGGCAGCUAAGAACGCAGCACCCAAAUUAUCGCACCAUAGAACGAGAGGACUUGGCCGGGGGACAUGAAGUUCUUGUAGAAGCGACUAGAGCUCCCCCUCCUCACGAUCAUCCCCGACGAGAUCCUCUUGCCACUGCAAAGAUUACCAACUUUUUCUUGCGCAUCUGCCAAGGGUGGCUUCAACUCGAUUGUGUCGACCUCGCUACUGUCUGCUUCUAGAAGGCCAUGCCACUGGUCUCUUCCACUGCCCUCGCAGGUACAAUGCAAGGUCGCCUAUGCAAGGUACAAUGCCUAGCGCGCAGAGAAUGAAUCAACCCUAUUUCUCAGUUUCCACGCCCUGGUGUGGUGUGUAACGUGCUUAUGUUGUUUCUCCCGAUAUCAUCAUAUUAAUAUUCUUGUUACCAUGUUGUUUACACUGUUCAGAAGUUCUUAUUCUCAUAAAUCAAUUACCAAUAGGUUGCACAUCCGUAGGAUUGCUGUAGUUAUACAACAGAUUCCAUUGUGCGACGAAAAUCAGAGUUUAUCAUUCUUCUGACAUCAAAGUUGAGUUAGAGCUCGUGACUGGAAGAAUUCUGAUCACGAAUUCAGUUUCAUAUUGAUGGACAUAGAACCGGAGGCCUUAAGGCAGGCUUCUAGAGUUAUAAAGCAGUGAAAGCUGUUAAAAAAACUGUUGUAAUAAAAAAAUGUGAAUAACUACUGUAAUUCAGUUGCUUCUACCUAUUUAUCCUGCAUCAAUCACCGGAGCCUAUAUAUGAUAGAUCAAUCAUCCAAAACCGGUUGGCUUGUACGAUUAAGACACUGAUUGGAAAAAAUUGUAAAAGUAGGAUACCUCAGUACACUGUUUUGCACAUUGUAAUGUCAGAGAGAUAGAGCUCCUGAUGUCAAAGUAUAUUACUGUAAUUAGUUUGUGCAUGAUGGCUGGGAAAAGGAACCGCAGAAGGCGAAUGUAUCAGGAAAGGCUGACUAUACGGGAGCAAGGAAAACCCAGUCUACAAAGACAACGACCAAGGCGAAGAAAUCCUGUUAGACUUGCUGAGAAACUGGGAUAUAUAUACUUACCAGCAGAGACGGCUAGCAAUAUCUUGUGACUCAUCCUAGCUUGCUUCCAGAAUAGUUAUUGAUGAAGAGUAUGUGAUAUGCAAAUAACACUUUCAAAGGAAAACCGGACCAAGCAGAAAUGGCAUGAACAAUUAUCUCUCUAGAUUAUGGUUCUGGUAAGAUCCCCAUCCCUUGUGUAUUUUUCCAAUUUCAAAUUUUAAAAAGAAUACUUCUGGACUUUUAAGAGAAAAGGGCUUUAUUCCACCUAUGCAAGAAGUUGCACUGCCGUUACAUUGUCCUGAAAUAGUGAAAUAUGGCAUUCAUGUGUGAGAUCAAACGAGGAAAUAAGAAUGUGAUUGCUAGUGAAUGCAUGUAACCUUAUAACACUAAAAUACUAGAUCAAUUGCAUCAUUCCAUCAACAGGGACCAAGUGUGCAAUGGAAAUAUUAUAGUAACAGCACUAGGUUUACUUUUCACAACCUACUAGCUCACAGUAUAAGAAACUCACAUACUUCUGGGUGAAAAAGAAAGGAUAAUUAUUCUUCAAUACAAGCAUGAAGCGCUGAUUGAAACUAGUAAACUGUUAACACAAGCAUGCACUGCUAACUGAAACUAGAAUAAACUAGGUUGCAUCCAUAUUCCUCUCUUUCAGACAAAAGACAGCACAACCAUCAGGUAUCAACGUAAUCUGCAAACGAAGCAAUCAAUGAGAUAGGCCAUUGACAGAUCACAGAUAUGCUUCUGAAAGGGCGUCUACCCUAUCUACAAAACAAUAGCUGAAAGGGUCGGCAAUUGAC